rnacentral:lncRNA from 1 species
GUUGAGCAAGUUCGGCGUCUGAGACUUGGAGAAGGGGAUGCUGCAGCAAUACAAUCAUACUUUUCGAAAAUGCAAGCUAGUUUUGCCAGGUUUUACUUCUGUAUAGAUCUGGACGAAGAUUCGAGGCUGAAGAGUGUGUUUUGGGCAGAUAAUAGAAGUAGGCAGGUGUAUAAAGAGUUUGGUGAUGUCGUCACAUUCGAUACCACAUACCUCACCAAUAAGUAUGACAUGCCGUUUGCUCCUUUUGUUGGAAUUAAUCAUCACGGACAAUCUACUCUGCUUGGAUGUGGGCUAGUCUCGAAUGAGGAUACAGAUACAUUCGUCUGGCUGUUUAGGACAUGGCUGCAAUGUAUGCAUGAAAAAGCUCCCCAGGGUAUAAUUACUGAUCAAGACAAGGCAAUGCAGAAUGCAAUUGCAAUUGUGUUCCCCGAUACGAAACAUAGAUGGUGUUUGUGGCAUAUAUUGAAAAAGUUACCGGAGAAGUUUGGAUAUCACGUGGACAAGGGUUCAGUAUUUCAUGCUAUACACAGUUUGGUUUACGAUUCACAAUUUGUCGAAGAAUCUGAAGAUGGAUGGAGGGUAAUGAUUGAUACAUAUGAUUUGCAUGAUAAUGCAUGGUUGUCGGGAGUGUAUGAUAACAGAUGCCGAUGGGUUCCGUGUUACUUCAAAACCAGCUUCUGGGCAGGAAUGUCCACAACUCAACGCAGUGAGUGUAUGAACGCGUUCUUUGAUGGCUAUGUGCAUUCAAAGACUUCGUUAAAGCAAUUUGUCGAACAAUAUGAACGGGCUUUGAAGAAUAAAGUUGAGAAGGAGAUUCAAGCUGAUUUCAAGUCUUU